GUUUCCGUAGUGUAGUGGUCAUCACGUGCAUCUAAAACGCGCAAGUUCCAAGUUCGAUCCUGGGCGGAAACA